AGUAGCGUGGCUCAGUGGAAAGAGCCCGGGCUUGGGAGUCAGAGGUCAUGGGUUCGAAUCCCACCUCUGCUG
rnacentral:tRNA from 1 species